AUUAGGGCUGUUCCUUGUGAAUAGCUAACAAAGCCAUGUUAGAUAGACCGGAGCUUUGACAUGUAGACUUAUAUUGUUAGAGAAUUGGAAGAAGAUAGUGAUUGUAUUGGUCUGUGUUUACCUAUAACUUGUUACAGGUUAACAAUGUAACCAGAAAAUU